rnacentral:rRNA from 1 species
GGAGGAAAAGAAACUAACAAGGAUUCCCCUAGUAACUGCGAGUGAAGCGGGAAAAGCUCAAAUUUAAAAUCUGGUGGUCUUUGGCCAUCCGAGUUGUAAUCUAGAGAAGUGUUACCCGCGUCGGACCGUGUACAAGUCUCCUGGAAUGGAGCGUCAUAGAGGGUGAGAAUCCCGUCUUUGACACGGACUACCGAGGCUUUGUGGUGCGCUCUCAACGAGUCGAGUUGUUUGGGAAUGCAGCUCAAAAUGGGUGGUAAAUUCCAUCUAAAGCUAAAUAUUGGCGAGAGACCGAUAGCGAACAAGUACCGUGAGGGAAAGAUGAAAAGAACUUUGGAAAGAGAGUUAAACAGUACGUGAAAUUGCUAAAAGGGAAACGCUUGAAGUCAGUCGCGUUGGCCGGAAAUCAGCCUUGCUUUUGCUGGGUGUACUUUCUGGUUGACGGGCCAGCAUCAGUUUUGACCGGUGGAAAAAGGUCAAGGGAAUGUGGCAUCUUCGGAUGUGUUAUAGCCCUUGGUUGUAUGCAUCGGUUGGGACUGAGGAACUCAGCACGCCGCAAGGCCGGGUCUUUGACCACGUUCGUGCUUAGGAUGCUGGCAUAAUGGCUUUAAUCGACCCGUCUUGAAACACGGACCAAGGAGUCUAACAUGCCUGCGAGUGUUUGGGUGGAAAACCCGGACGCGUAAUGAAAGUGAAAGUCGAGAUCCCUGUCAUGGGGAGCAUCGACGCCCGGACCAGAAGUUCUCUGACGGCCCUGCGGUAGAGCAUGUAUGUUGGGACCCGAAAGAUGGUGAACUAUGCCUGAAUAGGGUGAAGCCAGAGGAAACUCUGGUGGAGGCUCGUAGCGAUUCUGACGUGCAAAUCGAUCGUCAAAUUUGGGUAUAGGGGCGAAAGACUAAUCGAACCAU